GUGCUCAAUUAUGCAGCACAUAUACUAAAGCUGGAAUGAUACAAAGAAGAUUAACAUGGUCACUGCACAAGGAUGACAGGAAAAUUUGUGAAGUGUUCCACAUUUUU